rnacentral:rRNA from 1 species
GUGCCAGCAGCCGCGGUAAGACGGAGGGUGCAAGCGUUGUUCGGAUUGACUGGGCGUAAAGGGCGUGUAGGCGGUUGGUCAAGUCUGGUGUGAAAGCCCGGGGCUUAACCCCGGAAGUGCAUUGGAAACUAGCCAGCUAGAGCGCGAGAGAGGAGGGUGGAAUUCCUGGUGUAGCGGUGAAAUGCGUAGAUAUCAGGAGGAACACCGGCGGCGAAGGCGGCCCUCUGGCUCGUUGCUGACGCUGAAACGCGAAAGCGUGGGGAGCAAACAGGAUUAGAUACCCUGGUAGUCC